rnacentral:lncRNA from 1 species
UCACCGAUCCCGGCUUGAAGCAAGAUGGUAGAGUCCCAGAUAAACUGUUCAUGGAAAGGUCCAAAAAUUGAAGUUUGAGAUUGAGACUACAAAUUGCCCUUGGUAUUAAACCUUCAAGUUGAUUAUCUGCCAUGGCAACUUGUUCCAAAUUCGAAGCAGAUCCCCUCCAUUGUGGCAACCUACCAAAGAGUUGGUUCCUGCUCACAUCCAAUGCUGCCAGCUCUGACAUAUUCCAAAUCCAACUUGGGACUUCACCAUAGAUAGAGUUAUUGCUAAGAUCUAGUAUAUACAAGUAAGAGCAGUUAGCUAAGACAUUUGGGAUCAUCCCAGUGAAGUUAUUUCCAUUUAAUUCGAGCUCCAACAAGCUCGUUAGAUUAAAAUUUCCUGAGAAAAUUGAUCCUUGUAAUUUGUUAUUUGAUAAUCCAAGGAAUUGUAAUGAAGAGCAGCCCAUAGCCAUGUGCUCAGGUAUCUCUCCAGAUAAUUGGUUGUUUGAUAAGUCCAAAAUUUGUAAGGAACUCGUAUCACCAAAUGAAGAGGGAAUGCUGCCAUUGAAAUAAUUCUUUGACAUGUUCAAAUAAACCAAAAAUGGUAGGUGUGCUCCAAUUCUUGCUGGGAUGUUGCCACCGAAGGCAUUGUUGGAGAUAUUCAAAUAUGAUAAAGUAGAAUGCACACGCGAUGUCACUUGAAAAGGCCCUGAUAGAGAGCAAUUCACGAGAUUCAGGGUCACUAGCAUCGUGUUGUUUUCCAACAACCAAAAUGGAAAUCGAUCCACCUUGAAAUAUAUGUUUGAGAGGUCGACAUGCUGCAACUCACUUUGAUGGUACAAGAAUUUUGGAAAUGACCCAACACUUCCACAACAAGAUAAGCUGAUGGAACUCAACCGGAACCUUGGAGUCGAAGAAUGCGACAUCUCAUGAUCAUCAGCAUGUAUGGUGUUGUUAUCUGCAUGGAAGUACUUGAGUUUUGAAAGGUUGAAAAAGGGUCUUAAUGAGCUUGGGAUGUGAAAUUUAUUGUUUGAAACAUCCAACAAUUGGAGGGAUGUUAGACUUUCAAGGGCAGAUAUAUUUCCAGAUAACUGAUUAAAAGAGAGGUCCAAAGAUGCAAGCAAUGUUAGGCUCUGAAUGGCAGAUAUAUUUCCAGAAAAUUGAUUAAAAGAGAGGUCCAAAGAUGCAAGCAAUGUUAGGCUCUGAAUGGCAGAUGUAGUUCCAGAGAACUUAUUAGAAGAGAGGUCCAAAGAUUCAAGCAAUGUUAGGCUCUGAAUGGCAAGUAUAUUUCCAGAGAACUGAUUAGAAGAGAGGUCCAAAGAUGCAAGCAAUGUUAGGCUCUGAAUGGCAGAUAUAUUUCCAGAGAACUGAUUAGAAGAGAUGUCCAAAGAUUCAAGCAAUGUUAAGCUCUGAAGGGCAGAUAUAUUUCCGGAAAACUGAUUGUAAGAGAGAGAUAACAUUUUAAGGGAGGUGAGGUUGGAGAAACACAUGGGUAAGCUACCCUUUAGAUUACAGCCAUUGAUACCCAACUCUUGGAGAUUUGUGGAUUCACAGACAUCUGCAAAAGUAGUAGUAUAUAUGUAUAUAUUUAAGGAGUUUACAAAUAGGUACAAAUCUAAAUAAUAAAUAAAAUAUGUUGAAUUAAUUAGAAUAAUAAUCAAUUCAAUAUAAAAUAUUCAAGAGUGAAAAUUAGAAAAUCUACACGUGAUGGGAUUCGAAUCUAGGCAUUCAAGAUGCUAAGCCUUAAUUCUUUGCCUUUAGUGUGUUUAACCAUUUUUUUUUGGUCCAUAAGGUUUGUAGAAUUUAAAGUUUUAGCCUUUCUAGUUGUGAAAUUAUAAAUUUAAAGACUAAUUGGUGUAUUGUUAAUAAAUUUCUAUUAAAUUUGAAUAUAUGCAUUUUAAUAUUAAAAAAUAGUAGUUAAAUUUUUUUAUUUAUAUAUAAAAUCAAAAUUAUAUAGUGGAUUUGAAUAUCCUUCCUUUAUGGCUUUAUGUGAAUAAGUAAAGCAAAUUCACAUGUAUCUAUCCACGUCCAUUUUGAAUCUGAAUAUUAUCUGAAUUUAUAGCAUUCGAAUAUAAAAGAAGCAUAUCAAAUUUAUAGAUAUAUGAAUCUAUAAUCCGAAUUACCACAUCUAAGAAAAAUUAUAUUUCAAAAUUCAAAAAGCAGCAUAUUUAUAUAUAUUAAAUCUAGAAAUAUAUAAAACUAAAAUGAUGAGUAACUGAAAAUAGAAUAUCUACCAUGCAUAGGUGGACUGUUGUUACCAUCAAUAUCAGAGGCGGUCAAUUUUUUAAGAGAAAUGAGUGGUCCAAAAACUUGAAUAAAGUUUGAAGGUAAAGAUGAAUAAGACAACUCCAACUCUUCCAAACUUCUCAAAUUUAGGCCUUCUGUUCAAUAACAUUAACUGCAAGUUAUAUUUUUUAAAAAAAAUAUGGGAAACAAUGUAUAUUUAUAAAACUAUGAAGAAAAUAAGGAUUUGAAAUUAUGAGUUUCGUUCUGUUCUUUUAUUUUACAUAAAUUGAGAUGUUAGCUUUUUCUGUUUUAAUUUGUCAAAAUUUGGUUAACUGAAUUUUGUAAAUUAAGAAGCUAGUCUAGUUAUUGGUAAUAAUAUAUAUUCUCAUCUUUACAUCCUUUUAUAAUUGUUUUUUGAAAAUAGAUCCUGCAGAAUGCAUUAGUUUGACGGAAAAUUACAACGUUGAAAAAACAAUUUCCUAAAAAAACUUAAACGGCACCUUAGCAUCCUUUCAUAAAUUAAAACUACUAAAUUAAUUAAUGAAGAUUUUUUCUUAAAUCUAGAAAAUGGAUUUAAAACAAAAAUUUGACCUUACCAGUGUAUAUUAUCAAGUAUAUAUUGUUAAGGACAAUUUGAAAUAAAAAAUGACUUAAAAUCAAAUAAAUAUUAUCAUAAGAGGGAAAUUGAAAGAAUGAAAUUACCUUGUCGAGUGAGGUUUUUGUUGACGUUACAGUACAACAACUUUAAACGCUUCAAUGAAGUAAAGUCUGCUGUAACAGAGGCUUUCAAUAUCAAAUAUGUGUCAGAGAGAGAAAGGCAAAUAUAUUAGAGAAAUAUCCCAACAAAAUAUAUACCAUCAAAUUAUGUCUUGUACUCUUUGCACAUUUAAAAAUUAGUCUCUCUACUCUUAAUCUCGAAAAUUUAAUCUCUCUCUUCAUUUGAUUUAAUAAUUGAAAUCCAACUGAUAACAUCAUCAAAGGAUUUUCGUUAAAUUGGAUUACAUGACUUUUUUAAUAUGAAAUAUUUACUCACGUGGCUAAUUGCAUUUUGCAGAUUAUAACAUUGUUUGCAAAUGCUUAAAAUGUGUAAUAAUUUGAUCGAACAAAAAAAAAAUUUACAUGAGUGGAAGGCCAAAUAAACAAAAAUAAAUGUUGAAUCUAGUAUCGUAGAUUUUCGAUUUCGAAUAUAGAAUUGUAAGGUUCUUAGCUUUGUUUCAAAGAAAGGAGAGUGAAUACCGGUAUUUUUUAUUUUUCUGACAUAAUGUGCCCUUAAAUUGGCAAUAUGAGCAAAAUUUUCUGCUUUAAAAAUAUCACUCAAUCCAAAUUAAUAGAAUAGAAAAUAGAGUAAUUAAAUUUAAAAAAUGCGAAGAGUAUAAGGACUGCAUGCAUAAUUAGACCUACACGUAUAAAUUAAUUGUUUGUAAGAAAACAUCAAAACUUACUAUUGCGGGAAUAAGAAGCCAUUGUGGUUUCAUUAAUAUUAAAUCCAUCCAAAGAAAGAGUGUUCAAAGUGGGGAAGAAGCCCAAUGAUUGUAAUGAGAAGCUACAACCUGCAUCUGCAUCUGCCUCUGUAUAUGCAUCUGCAUGUCAAACAAUGCUUUAUUUCAUUAGAAUAUGUGUAAUUAGCAAGUCAGGGCAAAUAAAACAAAUCUUUAUUUCUGUUUCCUCUUCUUCAUAUCUAUCCCCAAAGUAGAGUUUAACAUUACAUGAUUUCUUUUCUUCUUCUUUUUUCUCUCAAAUUUUUAAUUUUUGCAUUACCUAUAUAGCUGGCCAUAGUCAGCUCUUCCAAUUUGCCCAAACCAUAUAAAUCUGAGGAGAAUCAGAAAUUGAAAAAUAGUUUAGUUCAAAUAAAGCUUAUGAAUUUAUAUUACUCAUUCAAUACUUCUUUUUUCUUCCUAAAAAGAAGAGGAUGGGGAGAAGGGUGAUUUUUACCUUUCAUAUCUAUUAAUCCAUUGCAUUGAGAGAUACCUAUGCUCAAAGUCUUUAGAUUCGGAAGUGUAGCAAGAGAUGCCAAUAUACUAUUGUUGAAACCAUUAUUACUCAAAUCAAGAUGUUUCAAAUUCAUCAGCCUUAGUCCUGCACCAUUAUCAAGUAACAACAUUUUUAGUUAUUUUAUUCCAUAUGAUAUUUAAUUUUUAAAAUUUUGACACGUGCCUCUUUUUUUAAUAUUUUAUUAUAUCUCUAUAGAACACUUGUUAACCCAAUGACUUUACUUAUGGAGUCUAAAAUCCCUAAGUUUAUAAUAAAUUUAACAAUACCAAAAUUUUAAAAAAAAUAGAUUUAAUGUUAAAUUGAGAAUUUUAAAAAAUCAUAAAUACCUUGAGAUGGAAUAAAUCCAUUCACUUCAUUAUAGUCUAAGAUCAACUCCUCUAAAUUGCUGAGAGCAUUUAAAUCUGAAGAUAACGUUAGAAAGGAAACUAAAAAUAAGUUUAUUUUGUUUAGCAUGUGAAAACUAAUAGCAUAUUAAUUUAAAUAUUUAAAGCAUUCAUAAUGGGAACUAUUCAUUUAGUCUACUAUAUUAUUUGUGUUAGAUUUUGAACAAAGUUAUUUUCAAUUCCCACUUAAUCUCUUUUAUUAUGUUAAUAAUAUAUUAUUCUUUUGUAAAUGUGAAAGCGAGGUUUUCGAUUAAGUUUUGGCCUAACUUGAAUGGGUUUAUUCAGUUCAACUUAUGAAAUAUCUAUUGUCAAUGGUAAAUAUUUGGUUAAGUGUUCAAAUAGAGAUGAAACCUUUUAUGAGUUGCAUAUGAAUCAAAACUUUAAAAGUAGUUAAGUAAAAGUUAAGUCUGCGUCAUACAAUAGAGAAACCUUACACAAUGACCAAAUAAGAGUUGAACCUUUUCAAUUGUGCUCAAAUAAGGAUUUUUCAAAUACCAUAUAAUAUAUUUGAAUUUUUUUUCUUUUCAAAUAAUAUCUUAUUAAACCAUGUGUGUUUUAUUCUAAACACGUUAGCAUUCAUCUAAUAAUUUUUACUUUCAAAAGGGCAUGAUUUUUUUACCGUUUUGAAAGGUAAUUAGGUGCUUGCAUAUAAAUAUUAACAAUUUAUUUAAUAUAUGUCUAAUUAAUUGGAAAAUGGAUGAAAAGCAUUUAAUUGUGAAAGGAAAAUUACAAAUAAAACUAAUAACAAAUCAUAUAAAAUCAAAAGAUAUCAUAUUCUUACCUUUUGUAUAUAUUGCCCCCUCCAAUUGGUUACCAGAUAAAUCCAAUGACUUUAAAUUCGAGAGCUCAACAAGGGAUGAGAAUACACUAUUGUUAAAGAGAUUACCAUUUAAACUAAGUACCUCAAGUUUGUUGAACUUCAUUCCUUCUUUUUCUAAAAAGAAAAAAAAAGUUAAUGUAAUUUCAUCUUAAAAAAGAUAAUAUGUUGGAACAACGAUUAAUAAAGCCAAGUGAUUUACCAUGGAAUAGUGACCCAAGGCUCUUAAUUUCAUUUCCCCCUAAAUAUAGCUCCUUCAAGUUCAUCCAAUUAUUAUUGCUUUCUGUUCAUAUCCAAUGAAAAUAUAUGUAAGUUAGUCAAGUUAUUUAAAAAGGGAUAUAUAACAUUUAGUCCCUGAAUUUUGUAAUUUUCUCCAACUUGGUCCUUGAACUGUUUUUUGUCCACAUUAGUCUUGGAAUUUAACAUCUUUCCAUAGCUUUGGUCCAUGAGAUGAUGCUGCACUAUGAGAUUGUGUCAUGUCAUCACCUAAAUUCUUGAAAAAUUGCUAAAUUCCAGGACUAAUGUCUACCAAAAAAGUUUAUAGACUAAGUUAGAAAAAAUUACUAAAUUCAAGGACUAAAUGUAGCUUUACCCUUAUAAAAACAACUAACUAAUAAGCUUUCUAUUUUUUUUAAUCAAAUUAAGCAUGAUAUUCAAAAAGGAAACAUGCCUUGUAUAUCAAGGGUUCUUUUUAGUUCGCAAUACUCCAAACGCAAUGAUUUUAAAGAGGCAAAACCAUCUAGUUGUGAUAGGAUGUUAUUUGCUAAACGGUUGAAAGAUAAAUCCAAAGUUUCCAAAUUGUUCAACUUUGAUAACAUCUCAAUACCUGCCAACAAUAAUAUUAAAAAAAGGGACAAAACUACUUUAAACUUGGAUCAGCUCUGCAUCAUAUAUAAUUAAAUAUUAACUUUACCAUUGGUAGGAUUUGAUCUUGUGAAUACAUUUCCAGCUAGAUUUAAAGACUUAAGCGAGGAAAGUUCACUUAAGGAUGCUAAAAUGCUAUUGUUGAAAUGAUUGUUACUCAAGUCAAGAUUCUCCAACUUGUCCAAUUUCGAUGACAGCCUUUCGAAACCUACAAGGAAUAAGGAAAUAUAGUAAAUUAGCAAUAUCGGGGGACAGGGUCUUGGCUCCAAAAAAUAUGGUAAAUUUUCAGUUUAGUCCUUACCAAAACUGUAAAUUGAUGCAAUAAUAAAAUUUCAUUUCAACGAUGAACAAGUAGUUGAAAUGAUUUUUUUGACAUACAAAAUAAUAAAAAGAAAUAAAUGUUCGUAAUAAAGUUGAAAGGUAAUAAACCUUGAUUGGCAACACAGCCGGUUAUGAAAUUCCCCCUUAAAAAAAUACUCUGUAAUUUCUCAAAAGGAAGAAACAAAGAGGCAUUAAGAUACCAAUCUAUCUCCAUGUUACUGGAAUAAUUAAGGAAAAGAUGGGUGACUCGUCUAGUUAUUGGGUUGCAUUCAACCCUUUCCCACUCACAACAAUUUGAUGAACUCUCUUUUUCAUAUACGAAGUCAUCAUUGAUUAGAUCUUGAAACUUAUAAUCAAUGAACUCAAAGAAAGGUUUGAGUUGGAAGAGAGCAAAUCUUUCUUCCUCUAAGCAACCAUCACACAGCCCAGAACCUAACGAUAACACUACAAGAACCAUGGCUAACCAUUUCGACUCCAUCUCACCACUUUAUGCUUUUGUAGCCAAUGCAGCAACCCCUUUAUAUGCUAAAAGAAAAAGGAAGAAGGCUUCAUGCUUCCAAGAAAUUCAUUCACAAUCGCUUAAAUUGUUUACUUUGUUUUUCAACUUUAUCAUUGAUAUUUUCAUGGAACCCUCUCAUUUCUCUCUUUUUUCCACAUUAAAGAUACACAUGUUAAUGCAUAUGGCUAAUAAGGUGUACAGUCAGUCAAUCCCGUGUGGACCACUAUCUUUUCUUUGCUUUCUUUUCGUACACAGCACAGACUCCUCCAAAUUCAGGUGCCAUUGUUUCUCGUCUUUCAUCAUCCUAAAUGCAUUUGCUUUGCUGAUUUAUUGUGAUAAAAUAAGUUUUAUUAUCAGGAGAAAACCAUUAAAAAAUUAAUGUAUUAUUAAAAAGAUUAAAUAAGACCAAAUAGGAAUUAUAGUUAACAAUCAUUGUUUAAUACAAACAUAAUAAUUAUUUUUUCAUUUAGAAUUCAACACCAAACAAAAUAAUAUACCUUUGUUAAAACAAUGAAUGAUGUUUUUAAAUAGUAAAUGUUAACUUUGUUUAAAUUUGGCUUUAUAUAAUUUUUCAAUAAUAUAGCGACUAAAUUAAUCCAUUUAAUAGUAGAAGGAUGAAUUUGAUUUGAUCGCUAUAACAGACAGAGGGACCUACCAAGUACAUUCAUCCUUUUCUAUAUAUAUGAUUUGAUUAUAGUAGAUGUCCCAAAACUAUGAUCCAUGUUUUAAAUUAGACUUCAAAUUUCAAGAUACUCUAAUUAAGUCAAUAGAUUAUCAAUAUUUCCAUCAAUCUGGGCAUCAUAAAGGGAAGUAAAUACUAACUUAGAUAUGAGAUGGAUCAUAUUUAAAAUAUAUGAAUCAAAUUUUAAUGACAACUUUGAUAUAACAUGUUAAAAAGAAAAAAAAGAAGAGCUCUCUUAAAUUUUAAUGACAUUAUUUUAUAUUGAAGACCUUAUUCAUACAACAUUCAACAUAAUUGUUAAAUAUAUACACAAUGAAAUAUACUAAUAUUCAACAUUCAAAUUGCAUAUAUAUUCAAAAGCAAAUAUUGAAAAUUUCUUAAUAGAUGACGAUACACGUACCCUUUUCCUUGGUAGUGUAGUUAUAAUACAAGAAGCAUAGUCAACCAUUUUGACUCCAUCUUAGCACUUUAUGCCCUCAUGCUUCCAAGAUACUCAUUCCGUAAGGGGGUAUUAGAAUGAGGAAUUUUAUUUUUUAUCAAAGUUUUUAAAAAUUUAAAAGGGAAUUUACUUGUUUAGAUAAAAAAUUUAAAAUUUAUAACUAAUUUCAAGAAAGGAUUUUAAUAGCUCAAAUUUCCUUUUCAAAUUUCAUCUAAAGAAGUGGUUUUUCAAAAUAUAUUAUAAUUUUAUUUCAUUUAAUAAACAUGGUUCCAGUAUAUGAUAAAUACUACAACUUCAAAAAAUUAAUACAUUUUUAACAAUUUUAUUUUAUUAAAAAUAUUUAUAAAUUUUACAAAUAGUUUUAUAUUAAUAAUGAAUAUUAUUUAUUUUUAGUGUAAUUAUUCUUUAAUUCAUAAAAAAAAUCCAAUAACUCAUUUUUGUUAAAACAAUUAUUCAUGUUAUCAAUAAUUCUUUAAUUCGUAAAAAUCCUCAAUUAAAUUUAGUAAUAACACAGUCUAUUUUUUAUUAUGCAAAGAAUAAUUAGAUUUCUAAAUGUUAUCCGACGUGAGUACCUGGACCUACAGGCACAAUCACCCAGGGAAGGAUGUAAGGUGAUGACUGAUGCAGAUAUUUCUCGGGUAAAGAUGUUUUUGAAACUUAAUUAAAUGCUUUUCAUUUUCAAGUAAACAGUUUCCAUGCUAAUUUCAUCAGAUGAUUAAGUUGUUCUCUGGAGAAGAGUGGUACAAUCAACAAGCAUCAAGAGCUGUAAAUCAGUCAGUCGGACGAGUUAUCCGUCACCGUCAUGAUUAUGGAGCAAUUAUCUUUUGUGAUGAAAGGUAUUUGCUUUCUAUUGCCUUUCCUUGUGAUCUUUCAUCUGAGUAUUCUCCAAGUAGUAAAUGCUUGAAACUGUUAUAUUAACAGUUUCUGUUCGAUGUGUUCCCUUCAACUCUCUUUCGGAGACAUAUUAUAUCUAGUAUUGCUUUUCUCUUCCCCUACUGAGGGGUUAAAACUGUUACUCUGGUGCUUAUUAAUACAUUGAUUUAACUGAUUAAAAGCCCCAGUUGUUAAAUUUAGCAUUUAGUGGUAAACUUGGAUGUACUACCUUAGUUUACAUUAUCAUCUGGACCUGACCAAGCAUGAAGCGAAAAGUUUUCUCAGUUUGGAAGAAUAAGACCUAAGCUGUAAACUUGGGAAGUUGAAGGCUCACAAGCGAUUAAUUAAUCAAGAUUUUUUCUUAAAUCUAGAAAAUGGAUUUAAAACAAAAAUUUGACCUUACCAGUGUAUAUUAUCAAGUAUAUAUUGUUAAGGACAAUUUGAAAUAAAAAAUGACUUAAAAUCAAAUAAAUAUUAUCAUAAGAGGGAAAUUGAAAGAAUGAAAUUACCUUGUCGAGUGAGGUUUUUGUUGACGUUACAGUACAACAACUUUAAACGCUUCAAAGAAGUAAAGUCUGCUGUAACAGAGGCUUUCAAUAUCAAAUAUGUGUGAGAGAGAGAAAGGCAAAGAUAUUAGUGAAAUAUCCCAACAAAAUUAUGUUUUGUACUCUUUGCACAUUUAUAAAUUAAUCUCUCUACUCUCUACUCUUAAUCUCGGAAAUUUAAUCUCUCUAUUCAUUUGAUUUAAUAAUUGAAAUCCAACUGAUAACAUCAUCAAAGGAUUUUCGUUAAAUUGGAUUACAUGGCUUUUUUAAUAUGAAAUAUUUACUCACAUGGCUAACUGUAUUUUGUAGAUUAUAAUAUUGUUUGCAAAUACUUAAAAUGUGUAAUAAUUUGAUCGAACAAAAAAAAGUUUACAUGAGUGGAAGGCCAAAUAAACAAAAAUAAAUAUUGAAUCUAGUAUCGUAAGAUUUUCGAUUUCGAAUCUAGAAUUGUAAAGUUCUUAGCCUUGUUUCAAAGAAAGGAGAGUGAAUGUGGGUAUUUUUUUUUUUCGGACAUAAUGUGCCCUUAAAUUGGCAAUAUAAGCAAAAUUUUCUGCUUUAAAAAUAUCACACAAUCCAAAUUAAUAGAAUUAAAAAUAGAGUGAUUAAAGUUAAAAAAUGCGAAGAGUAUAAGGACUGCAUGCAUAAUUAGACCUACAUGUAUAAAUUAAAUUUGUAAGAAAACAUCAAAACUUACUAUUGCGGGAAUAAGAAGCCAUUGUGGUUUCAUUAAUAUUAAAUCCUAGCAAAGAAAGAGACUUCAAAGUGGGGAAUAAGCCCAAUGAUUGUAAUGAGAAGCUACAACCAUCUGCAUGUCAAACAAUGCUUUAUUUCUUUAGAAUAUGAGUAAUUAACAAGUUAGGGCAAAUAAUUUAUACAUUUGCUUCAAAUGUCUAAUUACCUGUAGUGCAGGCCAUAUACAGCUCCUCCAAAUUACUCAACCCAUAUAAAUCUGAGGAGAUUCAGAAAUUGAAAAAUAGUUUAGUUCAAUUAAAGCUUAUGGAUUUAUAUUACUCAUUCAAUACUUCUUUUUUCUUCCUAAGAAAAAAAAAACAGAAGAUGGAGAGAAGGGUGAUUUUUACCUUUCAUAUCUGUUAACCCAUUAAACAGAUAGACACCUACCGACAAAGUCUUUAGAUUUGAAAGUGUAGCAAGAGAUGACAAUAUACUAUUGUUAAAACCAUUACCACUCAAAUCAAGAUGUUUCAAAUUCAUCAGCCUUAGUCCUGCACCAUUAUCAAGUAACAACAUUUUUAGUUAUUUUAUUCCAUAUAAUAUUUAUUUUUUAAAAUUUUGACACGUGUCUCUUUUUUAAAUAUUUUAUUAUAUCUCUAUAGGACACUUGUCAAUUCAAUAACUUUAUUUAUGGAGUUUAAAAUCUCCACCAGUACUAUACCAAAUAUUAUUUCCUAAGUAAUUUAUAAUAAAUUUAACAAUAACAAAAUUUUUAAAAAAUAGAUUUAAUGUUAAAUUGAAAAUUUUAAAAAAAAAUCAUAAAUACCUUGAGAUGGAAUAAAUCCAUUCACUUCAUUACCGGAUAAGAUCAACUCCUCUAAAUUGCUAAGAGCAUUUAAAUCUGAAUAUAACGUUAGAAAGGAAACUAAAAAUAAGUAUAUUUUGUUUAGCAUGUAAAAACUAAUAGUAUAUUAAUUUAAAUAUUUAAAGCAUUCAUAAUGGAAACUAUUCAUUAAGCCUACUACAUUAUUUGUGUUAGAUUUUGAACAAAGUUAUUUUCAAUUCCCACUUAAUCUCUUUUAUUAUGUUAAUAAUAUAUUAUUCUUUUGUAAAUGUGAAAGCGAGCUUUUCGAUUAAGUUUUGGCCUAACUUGAAUGGGCUUAUUCAGUUCAACUUAUGAAAUUUCUAUUGUCGAUGGUAAAUAUUAGGUUAAGUGUUCAAAUAGAGAUGAAACUUUUUAUGAGUUGUACAUGAACCAAAACUUUAAAAAUAGUUAAGUAAAAGUUAAGUCGGCCUCAUACAAGAGAGAAACCUUACACAAUGACCAAAUAAGAGUUGAGCCUUUUUAAUUGUGCUCAAAUACCAUAUAAUAUAUUUGAAAUUAUGUUUUUCUUUUCUUUUCAAAUAAUAUCUUAUCAAACCGUGUGUGUUUUAUUCUGAACACGUUAACAUUCAUCUAAUUUUUACUUUCAAAAGGACAUGACUUUUUUUUUUUACAGUUUUGAAAGGUCAUUAGGUGCUUGCAUAUAAAUAUGAACAAUUUAUUUAAUAUAUGUCUAAUUAAUUGGAAAAUGGAUGAAAAGCGUUUAAUUGUGAAAGGAAAAUUACAAAUAAAACUAAUAACAAAUCAUAUAAAAUCAAAAGAUAUCAUAUUCUUACCUUUGUAUAUAUUGCCCCCUCCAAUUGGUUAUCAGAUAAAUCCAAUGACUUCAAAUUCGAGAGCUCAAAAAGGGAUGAGAAUACGCUAUUGUUCAAGAGAUUACCAUUUAAACUAAGUACCUCAAGUUUGUUGAACUUCAUUCCUUCUUUUUUUGAAAAAAAAAAGUUAAUGUAAUUUUAUCUUAAAAAAGAUAAUAUGUGGAACAACAAUUAAUAAAGCCAAGUGAUUUACCAUGGAAUAGUGACCCAAGGCUCUCAAUUUCAUUUCCCUCUAAAUACAGCUCCUUCAACUUCAUCCAAUUAUUAUUGCUUUCUGUUCAUAUCCAAUGAAAAUAUAUGUUAGUUAAUCAAGUUAUUUAAAAAGAGAUAAUAUAACAUUUAGUCCCUAAUUUUUGUAAUUUUCUCCAACUUGGUCCUUGAACUGUUUUUUGUCCACAUUAGUCUUGGAAUUUAACAUCUUUCCAUAGCUUUGGCCCAUGAGAUGAUGUGGCACUAUGAGAUUGUGUCACGUCAUCACCUAAAUUCUUGAAAAAUUGCUAAAUUUCAAGACUAAUGUCGACCAAAAAAGUUUAUAGACUAAGUUAGAAAAAAUUACUAAAUUCAAGGACUAAAUGUUACUUUACCCUUAUAAAAACAACUAACUAAUAAGCUUUCUAUUUUUUUCAAUCAAAUUAAGCAUGAUAUUCAAAAGGGAAACAUGCCUUGUAUAUCAAGGGUUCCUUUUAGUCCGCAAUACCCCAAAUCCAAUGAUUUUAAAGAGGCAAAAUCAUCUAGUUGUGAUAGGAUCUUAUUUCCUAAACUGUUGAAAGAUAAAUCCAAAGUUUCCAAAUUGUUCAACUUUGAUAACAUCUCAAUACCUGCCAACAAUAAUAUUAAAAAAAGGGACAAAACUACAUUAAACUUGGAUAAGCUCUGCAUCAUAUAUAAUUAAAUAUUAACUUUACCGUUGGUAGGAUUUGAUCUUGUGAAUACAUUUUCAGCUAGAUUUAAAGACUUAAGCGAGGAAAGUUCACUUAAGGAUGCUAAAAUGUUAUUGUUGAAAUGAUUGUCACUCAAGUCAAGAUUCUCCAACUUGUCCAAUUUCGAAGACAACCUUUCAAAACCUACAAGGAAUAAGGAAAUAUAGUAAAUUAGCAAUGUCGGGGGACAGGGUCUUGGCUCCAAAAAAUAUGGUAAAUUUUCAGUUUAGUCCUUACAAAAACUGUAAAUUGAUGCAAUAAUAAAAUUUCAUUUCAACGGUGAACAAGUAGUUGAAAUGAUUUUUUUGACAUACAAAAUAAUAAAAAGAAAUAAAUGUUCGGAAUAAAGUUGAAAGGUAAUAAACAUUGAUUGGCAACACAGCCUGUUAUAAAAUUUCCCCUUAAAGAAAGAUUCUGUAAUUUCUCAAAAGGAAGAAACAAAGAGGCAUUAAGAUACCAAUCUAUCUUCAUGUUGCUGGAAUAAUUAAGGAAAAGAUGGGUGACUCGUCCAGUUAUUGAGUUGCAUUCAACCCUUUCCCACUCACAACAAUUUGAUGAACUCUCUUUUUCAUAUACGAAGUCAUCAUUGAUUAGAUCUUGAAACUUAUAAUCAAUGAACUCAAAGAAAGGUUUGAGUUGGAAGAGAGCAAAUCUUUCUUCCUCUAAGCAACCAUCACACAGCCCAGAACCUAACGAUAACACUACAAGAACCAUGGCUAACCAUUUCGACUCCAUCUCAGCAGUAGUUUAUGCAUUUGUAGCCAAUGCUGCAACCCCUUGUGCUUUAUAUGCUACAACUGAAAGGAAGAACCCCCUCAUGCUUCCAAGAAAUUCAUUCAUAAGGGUCCACUUAUCACUUAAAUGGUAUACUUUUUUGUUUUUCAACUUUAUUAUUAAUUAUUUUUCAUGGAAACCUCUUAUUUCUCUCCUCUAUUAAUUUGGAUGUGAUACAAUAUUGAUAAACUAGUAUCAAAUAUCCUCUACAUACCUCGGGGUUUAAAUAUGUUCUUAUCAAAUUUGAAUUGAUAAUUAAUGCUCAACUUUAAGAUAAUAGAAAGACUUUAUUGAUACAGUACUCAACAUAAUUAUAAAAUAUAUAAAUAAAUUUUUUAAAAUGAUUUAUGUUGGAUAUUAUUUAUGAUGCCUGUUUAUUGUAACUUCCUUAUGAAGGUGGAAAAUGUAGAUAUUUGUUUCGAUAGUUUGAGUUAUUAUUGAGAAGACCUUGACUUAGAUGAUAGCAUAGUAAGGACAUGUUGUUUGAUUGUGAAAUUGUAAUCUAUUUCGAAUUCAAAUAUUAUUUGAAUAUAAGAAAAGCAGAUCAAAUUUAUAGAUAUCAUCUGAAUCCAUAAUCUAAAGUACCACAUCUAAGGAAACUAAAUUUAAAAAUUCAAAAAACUUUUUUCAACAAUUAAUCUAUACUAUAAUUUUACUAUAGUUGUUGUACUUCGUGGGUUUGUAGGUCUUAGUUCAAUAGUUAUUUGUGAACUGCUGGAAAUUGUGGAAAGCUGUAGGCGACUUAAGGUAUUCCAAAGGCAAUUCAACAUUUCAUCAUUGCAGUAAUUUUCACAUACGUUGAAAUCAAGAAACUCAUUUAAAUUCCCAACAUUCCCAGUUGCAAUGGGGCUUUAACUUAUUUGCAUAUUUGAUGUUGACUUCAUUAAAUAUUGAACAUUGAUCCCAUUCCACAUAUAAGAAAAUGAUAUAAGAGAAGAGGGAAACUUCCAAGUCAAGCUUUGUUUAUAUUACAAACGUAUAAACCAAGUUUAAAACAACUAAAUAUAUUAAUAUUUAUGAUGGUAACUUUCCUAUGAAUUUUUGUUUGAAGGUGAAAAUAUGAACUUUUGUUCCAAUAGGUAGAAUUAUUAUUGAAGUGAUGGCCACGAAUUGGAUCUAUUACUAAAUAAAUUUCCAUAAAUAAAUCUUUAUACCCUUACUAUAUUAAUUAUCUAUGUAUUUUUCAUUUACUUUAUUUAUAAGAUUAAAUAUAUUUGGCUUCUUUCAAUAAAAAUCAUGUUUAACUUUGAAUCCCAUGUGAUGGCCUGAUGGCUAGGGGUGUGCACUGCCUCAAGUGUGGCCUGAGUUUGAAUCAUAUUAAUCGUGUUGAUUGUUUUGGCUUUACCUUAUUAUUGUAAUUCAGCAAAAAAUUAAUAUUUAACUACAAAAUAUUUUAAAAUUAUAUUUAAGUUAGUUAUAUAUUGAUGUUGACGUGAAUUUAUUAAAUUAUUUUAUAUAAAAUUAAUUAGUUACCAUUAUUAAAAAGAUUAUAAUUGAAAAAAUUGAUUAAAAUAUAAAUUUGAAAAAAAUUAUUAAGCCCCUAGUGCUUCCAAGAAACUCAUUCCACAAAGGGUCCAUUCAUCCCUUAAAUGGAUUACCUUUUUUCCCCCAACUUGAUUAUUGAUAAUUUCCAUGGAAAAGCCUCUUUUCCAAGUCUUCCAUUAAUUUGGAUGUGAUAGAAUACUAACAUUUACAUGACUGGUAAUCACCCACCGCUUACGCCGGGGUUUAAUGAAACAAUUUUUAUUAUUUAUUUAAUAUUAAAUUUUGUUUAAAAUUUAUUAAAUAACAAUUAAUUAAUUAAAACUGAUUAAAUAUUAAUUAAUUAUUUAAACUCUUUUUUUUUUAUCAAAUAUGCUAUGUUUUUGUUCAUUAUAAAAUUUGAAUUUAUGAAAAUAUAUGAGAACCUUAUUUAUUCGCAAGUUAUUUUAUGUAUAAUUCAUUUUAAAUUAAUUUUAAAAGUGAAUAUUCAAAUCAACCCUUGUGUCGGUAAAUAAUGUUGAGUAUGAGUUGGGUGAUUUACCCAGGCCAAGCAAGAUUUAUUGACCUCAAAUCAAUAUGAAAUCAAAUUAAAUAAUAAAAUAUUUAAUUUAAUUAUAAAAAUAUUAAUAUUCUAUAAAAAUAAUAUGUGAAGCAUAAAAUCAGAUUAUGAAAUUAGGUGAAGCUGGCCCAACUUCACGACUAGACAUGCAAACUUUGUGCAUUCUACGCUACAAGAACUAGGAAGAACCCCUCAUGCUUAAAUGGUUUACUUUUUGUGCUUUAUAUAGUAUUAGUCAAAUAAAAUGGGAACAAACGUUGAAGAAUGAGAAAAAUGGGCGACUCCAGAGUCCAGAGGCAUGGGCAUCAAAUCAUGCUGCUUGAAUGGCAGAAUAGAAAUGGGAGCAACAAAUGUUUGGGUUUUAUUUAUUAAGGUUUUGAACUUUGAGUUUGAUCAUGCUUGGGUUUGACUAAACAACUAUAUGACUAUAUGACUAAACAACUCGAGCCUUCUCAGAAAUAUUCCUCAUGUUUCACUCCGUCUAUGGAUUUGAAUAAGUUGAAGCGAUCUAAUGAUCGAAGAAAAAUGCAAUCUCAAAAUCAUGACGUUAUAAGUUCAGAAACUUAUGUUUGGAGAGUCUAGAGAAAUUAAAUUGAAACGACUUGUAUGACAUACAUUAGUUCCCUCUUUAAUUGUUGGAACUAUCUUCCCUGUAAUGAGUUCUGUUAAUUUGUCUUUUGCUGCUUUCUCUUGAAUGCAGGCUAACUCUUUUGGAUUUUCACUUUCCUAGCUCGUAGCAUUAACUGAUUCGGAUUAGGGAUUUUUAUGAAACCUUCUCUGCCUUCAGGUCAAACAGAAACUUAGUCCUGCAGCAUACAAAGAUUUUGUGGGUUAUAGGAAGGAAAUAGUCCAAAGUGGUAAAAGAUUGGUAAUCCUCUGCAAUGCAUUGGGGAGUUAUUUUCAGGACCUGAGAGGCUUCCUCUUCUUGAAAGGUAUGCAUCUACUCCAAAAUUGUAUUAAAAUUGAAGACUGUGAGCAGUUACGUUACAUUGUCAGUAAGGCAUUGUGAAAAAUAAUUUAGUUGGCUUAACCAUGUAUACAUUGAGCAGACACUUUCUGAUACUCAUCCAGUUAAUGGCAUAUUGUGCGGUUUUAGGUUUCAUUGGAAGCUUGGCAAAAUUAAUUUCCUAUUCUCAGCAUGAGUUAAUGAUUUAUAAAGCUAAGCCCAACAUUGUCUGAAAUCAUCAAAUAUGUUAGAGCCUUAAAGGCUGCAAGUGCCAUCAGAGGUCUUAUCUGCAACACUAGCAAAGAAACAAAUUGCUCGUUUACACCAUACCUAAACUACUGUCUACUGAUAUUCUUUAGCCUGUCAUUCAUUUCCAUCCCCCUUGUUAGCUUGCAACUACUAUCGAUUACUUUUACUGGAUCUUACCCUCUGUUGUCAUCUGUUACAGAUUCAAGGAUUACGUGCCUGCCAGAUAUCGUUCUUUGUAUGAGGAGUACCUCGAAAGAAGUAAAAGAAAUGCCUGAAAAUCAGAGGAACUAAACUUAUCUGGUCGAAACAGUAAUUAGACGAUGCCAUUUGCCAAUGUGAUCGAUUAGAAGUGAAACUUUGAGACUUUAGCAGCAUGAUACUUUCUAGAUCAACAAUCUUUGAAGAAACAUACAAACAUUAUGGAAGGUUUGAAUGUAGUAAACUGCAACUUUGCACAGCGAUUGGAAGCUUUUGGAUGCAUAAACGAGCAACCAAGUUGCUCAUUUGUGUGUGGAGUAAAGAAACUUAUUCAACAUGAAGGUGGUGUUACACAUAGCAAGCAAUCUUUUCAUAAUUAUUUGUUGCUACUACUGAAAUUAUGAAGGACUAGACCUGGUGACAACUUACAUUUUGUACAAAUUGGUAUCAAACCAACUGAAAUAGAGUGAAACUAAGAAUGUGGCUCGUGGGAGUUUUUGUUCAGUUCCAGAAAAGCACUUUAAAUCCAUGUCUUUACACAGUUAUUCCAUAUAAACAUGGCUUUGCAAUCGACAAUUUUAUACCCUUGUAAACUCUUUUAUCGGAAAUCGCCAUUGCUUUGCUACAUGUUUCCAGUACAAAAAUUUCUGGGGAAAUUAUCUACCACAAAAUAGUAGCAGGAAUCAGCGGCCAUUUGAAUAUAGUAAAACCAUGCUUGCCUCCAAUAAGGAUUUAUGUACAGCACAGCUGCGAUGCACAAUAGAACCAUCAUGUAACAUGCAAAGAAGCUUGCAUAGAAGGCAUCCACAUCAAUGAAACCAUGGUCUUCUUUGAUGCCAGAUGAAGCCUUCCGUGUCAAUGGUGUUGUGACCGGUGAACAAUUUUUUCCCACCAAUGAGCCACGAAGAAAAGGAUUCCCGACGUAGUUGCUUUCAUCAAAUGCUCCCAACUGUCCAAUCCUUUCAGGUGUCUUUCCAGAUAAAUUGUUGUAUGACACAUUGAAGUAUUCCAGGAAAUGUAACACCGCAAAUUCGGCAGGGAUAUUCCCUGUCAAAUUGUUGUAGGAAAGAUCUAGACUUUCCAUGUCCUUGAGGUUAGAAAAUGCUCGUGGCACUGGUCCGGUCAAGCUAUUGUGAGAAAGGUUCAAUGUGAAGAGUUUCAUAAUGUUUUUUGUCUCAAAACUAAUUUCACCGGUAAGCUUGUUGCAGGAGAGAUCAAUUCCAGACUGUUAAAGUUAGUUCCCAUGCAACCAGCUUCCCAUGCAAAGGUGGCCAUGCAGAAGAAUACGUUGCAGGCAUUCGAGCCUUGGUCUGCAGGAACUGAAGCCUUAAGCUUAAUGUUGCCGAUCCACUUGGUGUUUAUGGUUGCUUUUUGAUUAUUUUGUAAUUUAGUUCAUGUUGAACUAAGUAGGUAAAUGUUUUGGUAUUGAUUGAUUGAAAAAUCAGCAAUGCAAGUGGUACAAGCUAAUCUUGUAAGUUUCAAUGCAAAUUAGUGGUGUUAGGUAAUUGAUUAGGUGAUUACUUGUUUGUUUUACUUGUUGACUAUUAUAUGUAAUGGCUUAAUGCCUUGUUGGAGUGUUAAUGAAAAUAUCAGCUUACUUUCAUUCAAUUUUUCUCUCUUCUUCUUGUUCUUCACUAGCUAGUUUCAUUUUCUGCUUUGUUUCUGAGUUUGUUUCUUCAGCAAGGCUCGAGGCUUGCUAUCCAAGCAAGACCAAAACAGUCUGCUGCUGCCUCUUUGCACCAAAAAUUGGUAUCUAGAGCCUUUGUCUUAGUGGACCUAUUGCUUCAAAUCAAGGAACCUAAUGGCUUCUUCAGGAUUUUCACCAGCAGCCCCACCAGUCUUCAAUGGGGAAGGCUUCCACAUAUGGCUGGUAAAAAUGAAGACUUACCUGCAGGCUUUUGAUCUGUGGGAAGUUGUCAACACAGAUGCUGAGCCAGCACCACUGAGGGCCAAUCCCACAGUAGCUCAGAUCAGGCAACAUGCCGAUGAAAGGACUAAAAGGCACAAAGCCAUGUCUUGCAUCCAGAACUGUGUGUCAGAUGUCAUCUUCACCAGAAUUAUGGCCUGUGAGACUCCAAAACAGGCAUGGGAUAAGCUUAAGGAGGAGUUUCAAGGUACUGAAAAGACAAGGCAACAGCAGCUGUUGAAUUUAAGAAGGGAUUUCGAGAAUCUGAAGAUGAGGGAAGAAGAAACAGUGAAGCAGUAUGCAGAUAGAAUCAUGGUAGUGGUUAACAGCAUAAGGCUCCUUGGUGAGCACUUUGAUGAGGCAAGAAUAGUGGAGAAAGUCCUCUCCACUUUGCCUGAGAGAUAUGAGGCAAAGAUAUCCUCCUUAGAGGACUCAAGAGACCUUGCUAGCAUCUCUUUGACUGAGCUUAUCAACACCUUUUAUGCUCAGGAACAAAGGAGAGCUAGCAGAGCUGAAGACCACCAGGAAGGUGCAUUUCAAGCCAAGACAAGAGAGGCCUCGAGCACCAAUGCUCCAAGAGGCAAAAAGCUUUGGAAAAGCAGGCCUAAGCCUGAUGCUGCAAGGAGUAAUGAUCAGCCCUGCAGAUAUUGUAAAAGAUCUGGACAUCCAGAAGAUAGAUGCUGGUUUAGGCCAGAUGCAGUAUGUCAACACUGCAAGAAGAAAGGCCAUGUUGAGAGGGUUUGCAAAAACAAAACCAAGCCAAGGCAGAGCCAAUUUCAACAACCAAAUGUUGAAGCUCGAGUAGCUGAGGACAGUAAUGACCUGGAAGAGCAGGUCUUUGCUGUUUCUUGCUUAGCUACUGAGAAGAAAUGCUCAAAAGGGUGGCUACUGGACAGUGGCUGCACCAACCACUUGUCACCAGAUUCAUCUUUGUUCAAAACCUUGGACAGAAGCUGUAAAACUAAGGUUAAGGUUGGAAAUGGUCAGUUUAUAAAAGCUGAAGGAAGAGGAGAAGUGCUGAUAUGUACUCCUACAGGCAACAAAGUCAUUUCAAAUGUCCUGCUGGUACCUGAGAUUGACAGAAAUCUUCUUAGCAUUGCUCAACUGCUUGAGAAAGGCUAUUCUGUUGUGUUUAAGGACAAAUACUGCCACAUAGCUGAUCCAAGUGGAUCAAGCCUUAUGACAGUCACAAUGACUGAUAAAUGCUUUGAGGUCCAUUGGUCAAAUGACUCAAAGUCAGCAUACACAGCCUUUACAGAUGAUUCCAAGCUCUGGCAUCAAAGGCUCGGGCAUGCCAACUUCAGAUCAAUGGCUCAAAUGGCCAAAGAAGGCUUGACAGAGAACUUCACCAGCUCAGUGGAGCAUGAUGAUGUGUGUGAAGUGUGCCAGAUGGGAAAACAAGCAAGACUGUCAUUCCCAACAAACUCAGCAUGGAGAGCCACUGAAAGAUUGCAGCUGGUGCACUCUGAUGUAUGUGGACCUAUGAGGACUGAAUCACUCAGCAAAAACAGGUAUUUCAUCCUCUUCAUUGAUGAUUUUACAAGGUUUUGCUAGAUUUUCUUCUUGAAACACAAGUCUGAGGUAGCUCAAGUGUUUGUGAAGUUUAAAACUGCUGUAGAAACAGAAACAGGCUGCAAAAUAAAAUCGAUAAGGUCAGACAAUGGCACUGAGUACACUUCAGCUCAGUUCCAGGCCAUUUGCAAUGAUGCUGGCAUCAAACACCAGCUUACCAAUGUCUACACACCUCAGCAGAAUGGGGUAUCUGAAAGGAAGAACAGAAGUCUUAUGGAUAUGGCCAGAUGUCUCCUGUUUGAGAAGAAAAUGCCCAAGACCAUGUGGGCUGAGGCAGUAAACACUGCCGUUUAUCUGCAAAAUAGGCUCCUCACCAAGGCCCUUCCACACAAGACACCUUUUGAGGCAUGGUUUGGCUUCAAACCUUCAUUGGCACACCUGAAGGUGUUUGGUUGCCUGUGCUAUGCACAAAUACCAGCAGCAAAGAGGGACAAGCUCUCAAAAAGGGCUCAACCAGGUAUCCUAGUUGGCUAUAGCUCAGACAAAAAGGGCUAUAGGGUUCUGGAUCCCUUAACAUGCAAAGUUCAGGUAAGUAGAGAUGUUGUCUUUAAUGAAAAGGCAUGCUGGAAUUGGGAAAAGAAUGAACCAGAGGCAGUUUCAGAGGACCUGGUGCCUAAUCAUGCUGAAUUCGAGCACCUUGGUCCUGAAAUGGAUGUUGAUGAUGUGCCUGUGAGAGGAACAAGGCCCUUGGAUGAGAUUUAUGAAAGAGCACAGAUUGCUAUAGCAGAACCAACCAGUUUUGAAGAGGCCGAGUCUGAUGAAGGCUGGAAGCAGGCUAUGGUUGAUGAAAUCAACAUGAUACAGAAGAACCAAACAUGGGAGUUGGUCGAUAAGCCUGCUGGAAAGAAGGCCAUUGGAGUGAAGUGGGUCUAUCGAGCUAAACAAAAUGCAGAUGGCAGUCUUAACAAGCUAAAAGCCAGGCUUGUUGUCAAAGGUUUUAGCCAAAGGUAUGGUUUGGACUACUUGGAGACCUUUGCACCAGUAGCCAGACUUGACACUGUCAGAAUGAUAGUUGCUUUGGCUGCUCAAAAUCAGUGGACCAUUCAUCAGCUGGAUGUGAAGUCUGCAUUUCUCAAUGGCUUCCUAGAAGAAGAGAUCUACAUUGAGCAGCCUCAAGGGUUUGUAGUCACUGGUGAAGAACACAUGGUCUACAGGUUAAAAAAGGCCUUGUAUGGCCUGAAACAAGCUCCUCGAGCCUGGUAUGCUCGAAUCGAUUCCUACUUGCUCAGUUUGGAAUUUGAGAGAAGUGCCAGUGAACCAACUUUGUAUGUGAAGAAAAAUCAAGCUGAGACUCAGCUUAUCUUGUCACUCUAUGUUGAUGAUUUGUUAGUAACUGGAGGAGACAAAAAUAUGCUGCAUGAUUUCAAGAAGAAAAUGAUGAAAAUGUUCGAGGUGUCUGAUCUAGGCAGAAUGAAUUACUUUCUAGGAAUGGAAGUAAGACAAAAUACAACUGGAAUCUUUCUCAGCCAGAGUUCUUUUGCUAUGAAGGUCUUAAACAAGUUCUCAAUGAAGAAUUGCAAGCCAACAAGCACACCAAUGGCUGUUGGAAUGAAGCUAUCAAGGUAUGAAACUGGUGAACCAGUUUGUGAGACUAUUUACAAGAGUCUCAUUGGUAGUCUAUUGUAUUUGACUGCAACAAGGCCCGACAUUAUGUUUGCAGUUAGUGUGCUAUCCAGAUACAUGAAUUGCUGCAUAGAUCUGCACUUUCAAGCAGCAAAAAGGGUGCUGAGGUACAUCAAAGGCACCAUCAAUCAUGGUGUAAUGUUCAAAAGGGUUGAAAACAUGAAGUUAGUAGGAUAUGUUGAUAGUGAUUGGGCUGGAUCGAGUGAUGACAUGAGGAGCACAUCUGGAUACUCAUUUAGUCUUGGCUCAGGCAUGUUUUGCUGGAGUUCUAAGAAACAAAGUCUGGUGGCACAAUCAACAGCAGAAGCUGAAUAUGUUGCUGCUGCAUCUGCUGUGAAUCAAGCCAUAUGGCUUAAAAAAAUCUUGGCUGAUUUAAACCAAAACCAAGAAGAAGCAACAGAGAUUUACUGUGACAACAAAUCUGCUGUUGCAAUUGCAAAGAAUCCCAUCUUUCAUGGCAGAACCAAGCACUUCAAUAUCAAAUUACAUGUUAUAAGGGAGAUGGAAAAAGCUCAUGAAAUCGAGCUGGUUCAUUGCAAUUCGGAGGAGCAAAUUGCUGACAUUUUUACCAAGGCACUCAAUGUGCCAAGGUUUAUAAAAUUAAAAGGGAAGCUAGGCGUAACCAACAUAGAAACUAAGGAGGAGUGUUAAAGUUAGUUCCCAUGCAACCAGCUUCCCAUGCAAAGGUGGCCAUGCAGAAGAAUACGUUGCAGGCAUUCGAGCCUUGGUCUGCAGGAACUGAAGCCUUAAGCUUAAUGUUGCCGAUCCACUUGGUGUUUAUGGUUGCUUUUUGAUUAUUUUGUAAUUUAGUUCAUGUUGAACUAAGUAGGUAAAUGUUUUGGUAUUGAUUGAUUGAAAAAUCAGCAAUGCAAGUGGUAUAAGCUAAUCUUGUAAGUUUCAAUGCAAAUUAGUGGUGUUAGGUAAUUGAUUAGGUGAUUACUUGUUUGUUUUACUUGUUGACUAUUAUAUGUAAUGGCUUAAUGCCUUGUUGGAGUGUUAAUGAAAAUAUCAGCUUACUUUCAUUCAAUUUUUCUCUCUUCUUCUUGUUCUUCACUAGCUAGUUUCAUUUUCUGCUUUGUUUCUGAGUUUGUUUCUUCAGCAAGGCUCGAGGCUUGCUAUCCAAGCAAGACCAAACAGUCUGCUGCUGCCUCUUUGCACCAACACAGACAUGUAUUGAAGCAUUCUUCUCUUGUAAUUGUAGGAUCUGCUCUUUACUGUGUAUUCUAUUGAAACUUCAAUGGACGUCGAGCUACUUAUGUUGAAAUUAGAACUUCGAUGCAAAAUAUAUUGCUCUGUUACAUAGUUCAGCGCAGAAACUUUUAAACAAUAAGGAAUACCACCAGAGAGAUUGUUUUGAGAAAGAUCAAUCAAGCUUAAACGAUCCAACUUGCAUAAUUGAAUUGGAAUUUCACCCUCAAAGUGGUUUCUCCUUAAGAGAAGAUAACUUAAUUCAGAAAGAUUGCUAACCCAAUUUGGAAUGUUACCCUUCAAGUGGUUGUAGCUGAGAUCCAAUGUCACCAACCAAGAGCUAUCAUGAAAAGCAUUUGGUAACGCUCCUUGUAGCUUAUUUUUAAAUAAAUGAACUUCCCUCACCAAUACCGGCUUGAAGCAAGAUGGUAGAGUCCCAGAUAAACUGUUCAUGGAAAGGUCCAAAAAUUGAAGUUUGAGAUUGAGACUACAAAUUGCCCUUGGUAUUGAACCUUCAAGUUGAUUAUCUGCCAUGGCAACUUGUUCCAAAUUCGAAGCAGAUCCCCUCCAUUGUGGCAACCUACCAAAGAGUUGGUUCCUGCUCACAUCCAAUGCUGCUAGCUCUGACAUAUUCCAAAUCCAACUUGGGACUUCACCAUAGAUAUAGUUAUUGCUAAGAUCUAGUAUAUACAAGUCAGAGCAGUUAGCUAAGACAUUUGGGAUCAUCCCAGUGAAGUUAUUUCCGUUUAAUUC